AGAUGAGCCUGCGUCGGAUUAGCUAGUUGGUAGGGUAAAGGCCUACCAAGGCGGCGAUCCGUAACUGGUCUGAGAGGAUGAUCAGUCACACUGGAACUGAGACACGGUCCAGACUCCUACGGGAGGCAGCAGUGGGGAAUAUUGGACAAUGGGGGCAACCCUGAUCCAGCCAUGCCGCGUGUGUGAAGAAGGCCUUCGGGUUGUAAAGCACUUUAAGCAGGGAGGAAAGGGUGAUGGCUAAUAUCCAUCAUCAUUGACGUUACCUGCAGAAUAAGCACCGGCUAACUUCGUGCCAGCAGCCGCGGUAAUACGAAGGGUGCAAGCGUUAAUCGGAAUUACUGGGCGUAAAGCGCGCGUAGGCGGUUUGAUAAGUUGGAUGUGAAAGCCCCGGGCUCAACCUGGGAAUUGCAUCCAAGACUGUCAGGCUAGAGUACGGGAGAGGGGGGUAGAAUUCCACGUGUAGCGGUGAAAUGCGUAGAGAUGUGGAGGAAUACCGGUGGCGAAGGCGGCCCCCUGGAUCGAUACUGACGCUGAGGUGCGAAAGCGUGGGGAGCAAACAGGAUUAGAUACCCUGGCAGUCCACGCCGUAAACGAUGUCAACUAGCCGUUGGAAGGGUAAUCCUUUGAGUGGCGCAGCUAACGCACUAAGUUGACCGCCUGGGGAGUACGGUCGCAAGAUUAAAACUCAAAUGAAUUGACGGGGGCCCGCACAAGCGGUGGAGCAUGUGGUUUAAUUUCGACGCAACGCGAAGAACCCUUACCUGGUCUUGACAUCCAGCGAAUCCUGCAGAGAUGCGGGAGUGCCU
rnacentral:rRNA from 1 species